CCUUAUGCAUGCAAGUCGAGCGAAGCUUUUUGGUAGUUUACUACUAGAAAUGACUGAGCGGCGAACGGGUGAGUAACGCGUGAGCAAUCUGCCUUAGUUACUGGGAUAGCCCGAGGAAACUCGGAUUAAUACCAGAUAUUCUUAUUUUUUCACAUGAAGUUUUAAGGAAAGGUCAGCCGAACUAAGAUGAGCUCGCGUUCUAUCAGCUAGUUGGUGGGGUAAAAGCCUACCAAGGCUACGACGGAUAGCUGGUCUGAGAGGACGAUCAGCCACACUGGGACUGAGACACGGCCCAGACUCCUACGGGAGGCUGCAGCAGGGAAUAUUGUGCAAUGAGCGAAAGCUUGACACAGCGACACCGCGUGUGGGAUGACGGUUCUAGGAUUGUAAACCACUUUCAGGAGGGAAGAAAAUGACGGUACCUCCACAAGAAGACCCGGCCAACUAUGUGCCAGCAGCCGCGGUAAUACAUAGGGGUCAAGCGUUGUCCGGAUUUAUUGGGCGUAAAGAGCUCGUAGGCGGUUCAACAAGUCGGUCGUAAAAGUUUAGGGCUCAACCCUAAAAUGUCGAUCGAUACUGUUGUGACUAGGAUACGGUAGAGGUGAAUGGAAUUCCGAGUGUAGCGGUGAAAUGCGUAGAUAUUCGGAGGAACACCAAUUGCGAAGGCAGUUCACUGGACCGUGAUCGACGCUGAGGAGCGAAAGCUAGGGGAGCAAACAGGAUUAGAUACCCUGGUAGUCCUAGCUGUAAACGAUGGAUACUAGAUGUAGGAACUGGAUUGACGGUUUCUGU
rnacentral:rRNA from 1 species